CAGUGGGGAAUCUUGCACAAUGGAGGAAACUCUGAUGCAGCGAUGCCGCGUGAGUGAAGAAGGCCUUUGGGUUGUAAAGCUCUUUUGUAGGGGAAGAUAAUGACUGUACCCUAAGAAUAAGGUCCGGCUAACUUCGUGCCAGCAGCCGCGGUAAUACGAAGGGACCUAGCGUAGUUCGGAAUUACUGGGCGUAAAGCGCGCGUAGGCCGUUGAGUUAGUUAAUUGUGAAAUCCCAAAGCUUAACUUUGGAACUGCAAUUAAAACUGCUCGACUAGAGUUUGAUAGAGGAAAGCGGAAUACAUAGUGUAGAGGUGAAAUUCGUAGAUAUUAUGUAGAACACCAGUUGCGAAGGCGGCUUUCUGGAUCAACACUGACGCUGAGGCGCGAAAGUAUGGGUAGCAAAGAGGAUUAGAUACCC
rnacentral:rRNA from 3 species